GACGAACGCUGGCGGCGUGCCUAACACAUGCAAGUCGAACGGAACUGUUUUGAAAGCUUUCUUCGGAAUGAAUUUGAUUUAGUUUAGUGGCGGACGGGUGAGUAACGCGUGAGUAACCUGCCUUCAAGAGGGGAAUAACAUUCUGAAAAGAAUGCUAAUACCGCAUGACAUAUCGGAACCACAUGGUUUUGAUAUCAAAGAUUUUAUCGCUUGAAGAUGGACUCGCGUCCGAUUAGUUAGUUGGUGAGGUAACGGCUCACCAAGACCGCGAUCGGUAGCCGGACUGAGAGGUUGAACGGCCACAUUGGGACUGAGACACGGCCCAGACUCCUACGGGAGGCAGCAGUGGGGGAUAUUGCGCAAUGGGGGCAACCCUGACGCAGCAACGCCGCGUGAAGGAUGAAGGUUUUCGGAUUGUAAACUUCUUUUAUUAAGGACGAAAAAUGACGGUACUUAAUGAAUAAGCUCCGGCUAACUACGUG
rnacentral:rRNA from 1 species